AGACACACAGAGAGACAUACAGAGAGAGAGACAGAGAGAGACACACAAAGAGAGACAGAGAGAGACAGAGAGAGAGAGAGACAGAGAGAGAGACACCAGUCAAAAUAUUAUUUUUAUUGAUAUCAAGUGCUUGUCAGGAACAUCAAAACUAAAAACAGUAUUAGUGGCAGUAUUAGUGGCAACCAGGAUAGGUUACUGUCUAAAUGUAAUCCAACCAGGGUAGGUUACUGUCUAAAUGUAAUCCAACCAGGGUAGGUUACUGUCUAAAUGUAAUCCAACCAGGGUUGGUUACUGUCUAAAUGUAAUCCAACCAGGGUUGGUUACUGUCUAAAUGUAAUCCAACCAGGGUAGGUUACUGUCUAAAUGUAAUCCAACCAGGGUUGGUUACUGUCUAAAUGUAAUCCAACCAGGGUUGGUUACUGUCUAAAUGUAAUCCAACCAGGGUAGGUUACUGUCUAAAUGUAAUCCAACCAGGGUUGGUUACUGUCUAAAUGUAAUCCAACCAGGGUUGGUUACUGUCUAAAUGUAAUCCAACCAGGGUAGGUUACUGUCUAAAUGUAAUCCAACCAGGGUUG